GAGGACCGGAGUGGACGCAUCACUGGUGUUCGGGUUGUCAUGCCAAUGGCACUGCCCGGUAGCUAAAUGCGGAAGAGAUAAGUGCUGAAAGCAUCUAAGCACGAAACUUGCCCCGAGAUGAGUUCUCCCUGACCCUUUAAGGGUCCUGAAGGAACGUUGAAGACGACGACGUUGAUAGGCCGGGUGUGUAAGCGCAGCGAUGCGUUGAGCUAACCGGUACUAAUGAACCGUGAGGCUUAACCUUACAACGCCGAAGGUGUUU
rnacentral:rRNA from 1 species